rnacentral:rRNA from 1 species
UACGGGGGGGGCAAGCGUUGUUCGGAAUUACUGGGCGUAAAGCGCACGUAGGCGGACUCGUAGGUCAAUUGUGAAAUACCUGGGCUCAACCCGGGAACUGCAGUUGAAACCGCUUGUCUUGAAUACCUGAGAGGGUGGGGGAAUACCUGGUGGAGAAGUGAAAUUCGUAGAGAUCAGGUGGAACACCGGAGGCGAAGGCGCCUGCCUGGCAGUGUAUUGACGCUGAGGUGCGAAAGUGCGGGGAGCAAACAGG